rnacentral:rRNA from 1 species
GAUGAACGCUGGCGGCGUGCCUCAAACAUGCAAGUCGAGCGAGGCUAUGAAUUACCGCAAGGUAAGGCAUAGCCUAGCGGCGAACGGGUGAGUAACACGUGGGUAACCUACCUGGAAGACAGGGAUAACGAUUCGAAAGGGUCGCUAAUACCUGAUAAUAUCCAUCUGCCGGAUGGCGGAGGGAAGAAAGGGGAAACCCGCUUUCAGAUGGGCCCGCGUCCCAUCAGCUAGUUGGUAAGGUAAAGGCUUACCAAGGCGACGACGGGUAGCCGGUCUGAGAGGAUGUACGGCCACACUGGGACUGAGAUACGGCCCAGACUCCUACGGGAGGCAGCAGUUGGGAAUCUUAGGCAAUGGACGAAAGUCUGACCUAGCGACGCCGCGUGAGGGAAGAAGGCCUUCGGGUUGUAAACCUCUGUCAUGGGGGAAGAAGGAAGUGACGGUACCCCAAGAGGAAGCCCCUGCUAACUACGUG